GGCACAAACUCGAAGUAGUGUAGUUUAGUAGGGUCACGUGAUCCUGCUAAUCCACUCUAUUUCCAAUUUGGGCCC
rfam:Haemonchus contortus, ISE/inbred ISE, WGS project CAVP01000000 data, contig: Hcontortus_10991